CUGGCAGAAAGAGAAGACCCUGAGCAUCUUAAAUUCACGGCAGUUGCCAGCUGGAGUUCCCAUCUGAAUUUCCUGGAGGAAGGCAGACCCCAUCGCGACUUUCUUUCUUUCUUUUUUUUUUCUCCUUGAGGCUGAGUCUCGCUCUGUCGCCCAGGCUGGAGUGCAGUGGUGCUAUCUCAGCUCACUGCAACUGCCACCUCCCAGGUUCAAGCAAUUCUCCUGCCUCAGCCUCCAGAGUAGCUGGGACUACAGGCGUGUGCCACCACGCCUGGCUAAUUUUUGUAUUUUUAGUAGAGACGGGGUUUCGCUAUGUUGGCCAGGCUGGUCUCGAACUCCUGACCUCAGGUGAUUCACCAGCCCCAGCCUCCCAAAGUGGUGGGAUUACAGCCAUAAGCCACUGCGCCUGGCCUCUUCAUUUUUUUGAGACCAAGUCUUUCUGUUGCCCAGGCUGGAGUGCAGUGGCACGAUCUUGGCUCACUGCAGCCUCCACCUUCUGAGUUCAAGCGAUUCUCCUGCAUUGGCCUCCUGAGUAGCUGGGACUACAGAUGCCUGUCACCACGCCCAGCUAAUUUUUGUAUUUUUAGUAGAAACGAGGUUUCGCCAUGUUGGCCAGGCUGGUCUUAAACUCCUGACCUCAAGUGAUCCACCGGCCUCGGCCUCCUAAAGUGCUGAGAUUACAGGCAUGAGCCACUGUGCCCAUCCCCCACCGGGACUUUCUAAUUCAGGAAUUCUAGAGUGGGACCCUGUAAUUUGCAUUUCUUUUUAAAAUUAUUUUUUGUUCUUUUCUUCCCCGCCCACCCCACCCCGCGCCCCCCACCCACCCAGCUUUUCCUGACUGGAGAAGAACGGGGACAGAAGGCCUGAUUUGCAUUUCUACUAUUUCCCAGGAGAUGUUGACGUUGCAACAAAGAGAACCACUCAAAGAGAAUAGCUCUGUGAGAACCAAUGUUCUAGAGUUUAGGAAGACCAUCAAUUGGGGUAAAUGAGCCAAUUCCCAGGAGAAAAGGGGAAGGACCUUUUCUGAGGCAUGAUCUGAAUUUCCAGGGCUGAUGUUGCCCUUUGUUAUUUCCACAGGGGAUCUGCGUUUUCAAUCGCUCACCUGCAGAGCCGCCAGAUUCUGGCCAAUCUCGGCUUUUUUCCCUCUCACUGUGGGUUCUUCAGAGCCCCAUGGUUUAGACACAACGGUGGAUUCUCUUGUGCCCCAAUUACCACAUGCGUCAUGGGGAGAAGAGCUUGAACCCCCCAGAGGGUCAGGUCCAGGUGAGAAUUGAGGGUGACACUGAGAGAAUUUAGCUAGGUGGGCGCUGUGUACCGCAUCAUUGCCUGCUCCUUUCGCAGUUUUGCAUUUGUGUGUUGUACAGCUACGUGUCUCAACCUAGAAGGAUCUCCAGGAUGUAUCCUUGGGUGGAAAAAUUUAGGUACUAGAAUCUAGGCCGGGCGCGGUAGCUCACGCCUGUAAUCCCAGCACUUUGAGAGGCUGAGGUGAGUGGAUCAUGAGGUCAGGAGAUCGAGACCAUCCUGGCUAACACGGUGAAACCCCAUCUGUACUAAAAAUACGAAAAUUAGCUGGGCACAGUGGCAUGCACUCGUAGUCCUAGCUACUCGGGAGGCUGAGCCAGGAGAAUCGCUUGUACCCGGGAGGCGGAGGUUGCAGUGAGCCGAGAUUGCGCCAUUGCACUCCAGCCUGGGCGACAGAGACUCCUCCAUCUCAAAAAAAAAAAAAAAAAAUUAGCCGGGUGUGGUGGUGGGCGCCUGUAAUCCCAGCUGCUACUCGGGAGGCUGAGGCAGGAGAAUCGCUUGAACCCAGGAGGUGGAGGUUGCAGUAAGCCAGGAUUGCACCACUGCUCUCCAGCCUGGAUGACAGAGCAAGACUGUCUCAAAAAAAUAAAUAAAUAAAUAAAUAAAUAAAUAUAAAAAUUAAAAAAAUUUUAAAAAAGAAAUCUAUAUUGAGUUU
rnacentral:lncRNA from 1 species